rnacentral:siRNA from 1 species
AAAUUGGUGACCUUCCAGAAAGU